CUGAACAGUAAAGAUCAUUUACACCUCACACUGACAACAUGCUGUGGACCCUCUGCACUCUCAUCACUGCUCUAACAUGUGUGAGUGGUGUGACGGUGCUGACACAGAAACCUCCUGUUUUAUCAGUGAGGAAAGGAGAGACAGCCACCAUGGACUGUAACCUGGGGACUGUUACUGGCAGUGCUGCUCGGUGGUAUAAACAGAUUCCAGGAGGAGUUCCUCAGUUUGUGCUGAGGUUUUAUCAUAGCUCUAGUUCUCCAACCUAUGGCUCUGGGUUCUCUGCUCCAAAAUUCACAUCCACUCAUCAGUCAAGAUCAGAUUAUCGUUUGAUCAUCAACAAUGUGGAGGAGGGAGACUCUGCAGUCUAUUACUGUCAGACAUGGGACAGCUCUGCUGCUGUAUCACAGUGAUUCACACUGUGACAAAAACCUCCCUACUGAUACUUCUGCUUUUUGAUGCUCUUUUUUUCACAUGCUGACAAAAGACCCAUUCAACAGACUCAGUGUAAACCCACCACCUUCAAAUACUGUGUUUAUUGUUAUUUUUUAUUUUAAUGUUCAUCAAUGAAAACUCAACAACUUCAGACAGUCUAUUAAUAAACACUGAAUUUCUCUUUUUGAUACAUUUUAACUAU